rnacentral:lncRNA from 12 species
GCCGGGGUGGGGGCGGGGUCCUUCAUUGGCUGGACCCCGCCCCCCAGGCAGGAGAGGUCACGGACUGAUAGAAAAGUCUUUAACCGCCCCCCCCCCGCGCCCCAGGAGGAAGCAAAGGAGCCCCGUUUCUCAACAAGGCCAGCAUCAGCUCAGCGUUC